ACGAACGCUGGCGGCGUGCUUAACACAUGCAAGUCGAACGGUGAAGCGCCUUCCUUUUUGGUGGGUGUGGAUGAGUGGCGAACGGGUGAGUAACACGUGAGCAACCUGCCCCCUUCUUCUGGAUAACCGCAUGAAAGUGUGGCUAAUACGGGAUAUUCUGGGUCUGUCGCAUGAUGGGUCUGGGAAAGAUAUUGUUUCGGUGGGGGAUGGGCUCGCGGCCUAUCAGCUUGUUGGUGGGGUGAUGGCCUACCAAGGCGGUGACGGGUAGCCGGCCUGAGAGGGUGGACGGUCACACUGGGACUGAGACACGGCCCAGACUCCUACGGGAGGCAGCAGUGGGGAAUAUUGCACAAUGGGCGCAAGCCUGAUGCAGCGACGCCGCGUGAGGGAUGGAGGCCUUCGGGUUGUGAACCUCUUUCGCCAGUGAAGCAGGCCUGCCUCGUUUGUGGGUGGGUUGACGGUAGCUGGAUAAGAAGCGCCGGCUAACUACGUG
rnacentral:rRNA from 1 species